AUGGCUAUUAUAAUAAUAGUUACAGUAGGCACCUCAGAGGGGCCCGAGCCGCCCGGUGCGCCGCCUCCCGCCGCGCGCCGCCGCCGAGCGAGCCAAGCCGGCCGGGGCGGCGGGCGCGGGCCGCCAUGGACCCCAGCCCUGCUGCAGGAGCGGCCGCCCGCCUAUAGCUGGAGGCCGGCCAGGCGGACUACGCGUGCGGCCCGCACGGCUACGGCGCCAUCCCCACCGCGCCCCCGCCGCCGCCCUACCCCUACCUCGUCACAGGUUUACCCACCCACAACCCCAGGGUCUACAACAUCCACAGUCGAGCUGUCACCCGUUACCCUGCCAACUCCAUCGUCGUGGUUGGAGGCUGUCCGGUUUGCAGGGUCGGGGUGCUGGAGGACGGCUUCACCUUCCUGGGCAUCUUCUUGGCCAUCAUCUUGUUUCCCUUCGGCUUCAUCUGCUGUUUUGCCUUGAGGAAGCGAAGAUGCCCCAACUGUGGAGCAACCUUUAGUUAAAGGGAACAACACACCGGCUUCCUACACCCAGAUGUCUUUUUCUAAUGUAAAUGUUGUGUACAAUAGUUUUAUUUGAUUAAGCUUCAGGACUGUUUUGUAAAGCAAGGCGGGAUAGAGGUAGCACGUGCCAGUGUGGAAGGCAGCGCUGCUGCUCCGAGGUUCAUGACAGCUCGGUGAAGCACUGCUUUUAUUUUUUGCAGUCUUCAAUUUGAGAAAGGUGAGAAAUAAUGUUUUCAAUAAAUGAGAUUCAUACCACUAAAAAAAAAAAAAAAAA